rnacentral:rRNA from 1 species
GGUAGCUUGCUACCAGGCGUCGAGCGGCGGACGGGUGAGUAAUACUUAGGAAUCUACCUAGUAGUGGGGGAUAGCACGGGGAAACUCGUAUUAAUACCGCAUACGACCUACGGGAGAAAGGGGGCAGUUUACUGCUCUCGCUAUUAGAUGAGCCUAAGUCGGAUUAGCUAGAUGGUGGGGUAAAGGCCUACCAUGGCGACGAUCUGUAGCUGGUCUGAGAGGAUGAUCAGCCACACCGGGACUGAGACACGGCCCGGACUCCUACGGGAGGCAGCAGUGGGGAAUAUUGGACAAUGGGGGAAACCCUGAUCCAGCCAUGCCGCGUGUGUGAAGAAGGCCUUUUGGUUGUAAAGCACUUUAAGCAGUGAAGAAGACUCUUCGGUUAAUACCCGGAGACGAUGACAUUAGCUGCAGAAUAAGCACCGGCUAACUCUGUGCCAGCAGCCGCGGUAAUACAGAGGGUGCAAGCGUUAAUCGGAAUUACUGGGCGUAAAGCGAGCGUAGGUGGCUUGAUAAGUCAGAUGUGAAAUCCCCGGGCUUAACCUGGGAACUGCAUCUGAAACUGUUAGGCUAGAGUAGGUGAGAGGGAAGUAGAAUUUCAGGUGUAGCGGUGAAAUGCGUAGAGAUCUGAAGGAAUACCGAUGGCGAAGGCAGCUUCCUGGCAUCAUACUGACACUGAGGCUCGAAAGCGUGGGUAGCAAACAGGAUUAGAUACCCUGGUAGUCCACGCCGUAAACGAUGUCUACUAGUCGUUGGGUCCCUUGAGGACUUAGUGACGCAGCUAACGCAAUAAGUAGACCGCCUGGGGAGUACGGCCGCAAGGUUAAAACUCAAAUGAAUUGACGGGGGCCCGCACAAGCGGUGGAGCAUGUGGUUUAAUUCGAUGCAACGCGAAGAACCUUACCUG